GAAGCCUCCAAGGGUUGCUGUCACAGUGUCCCUCAGUUGAAACAUCUUCAAUAAUUGGAGUGCUGCCUGCUGACAGUGCUUCAUAUACUCUGAAAACAAAAAAUUGCACAGUACUUAUACAGAAAGGAAACACCAAAGGACACAGGGUAAGAUCUGACUGUAGAAGCGACUUGACGUAAUCAUCCAUAGAAUCGAUCGUCUCAUUGGGCACCCAUCUGAAUAUGAAGGAGGUGACCGAAUUAUAGCACCGAGGCUGUCAAGCCUUAAGGAAUCCUAGUAGGGUUCUCACACCCACCCAUGUCUAACGGCAGCCACAACUACAAUUUGCCCCUCUCUACAAAGCCAACAGAGACAGGGGGGAUCAGAGAUCAACCCAAAACCAAGAAGAAAAAUAUAUACAGUAUAGCCACAUCAAAAAAGCAAAUGCUUCAAGGAAAUUACUACAAUAGCAGUCCUGAGGAAAACAAAGCAAAUACAGUAAUUGUUGCCAGCAAGAUUAAUAUACAGUAAUUACAAUACCCCCCUCCCCCUGCUAGUAUGCCUCCUUUGUAUCUUAUCUUGCCAAAUGCACUGCUGUGCCUCUAUCAUCCAACAGUUUACACCUCACUAAACCCCAUCAACAGUAGUCACAAACAAGGAGUGAAAAGCAACAACUCCUGCCCUACAUAAAUUCACUCCAUCCUUUGCAUAUUUGUCAUUGUCCAUAGAAGUGGUCCCAGUUGUCAAUGAAUGAGGUGGGUGGCUGGCAGGAACCCCAGCUGACCUGGGCUGCCAUCUGGUAACAUCAGGCACAUCACAGCCGGGUUGUUUACCUUGAGGCAAUGAUUGUUCAUAUUGUUUUCUUCCAGGUUACUAAUUUAUUUCAAGCAAUUGCUUGUCUAGAUGCACUUAUACAGUUUAUAUGCAUUUUUUUCACAUUUAGGUACAUCUCUGAUCACCAAGCUACCCCUCACCUCUCACAGUGUGCCACAUUCUGGUCCCAAUUCUCAGUAGGCUUUUGGGGAGGGGGGGGGGGGGGUUGCCAAGGCUAGUGCAAAUCCCUAAGGCUUGGUGGAGUCAAUGUUAUAGUUCAGGGAGAUACAAAAAAAGGAUUUCACAGAAAUAAUUUUCAUUACCUCAAAAACCAACAAAACUCUCUUUACCAGAACUGUUUCUCUAUUCCAUCCAUAACUGUUCAUAAUAUUUCAACCAACCUAUAUAUACACAAAUACCAUCUUAUACAAUUCCUUUCAUUCUUCAAGCUCACAUUAUGACACUUUAGAA